AGCGGAGGAAAAGAAACUAACAAGGAUUCCCCUAGUAACGGCGAGUGAAGCGGGAAGAGCUCAAAUUUGAAAUCUGGUAGCCUUCGGCUGCCCGAGUUGUAAUCUAGAGAAGUGUUUUCCGUGCCGGCCCAUGUACAAGUCCCUUGGAACAGGGCGUCAUAGAGGGUGAGAAUCCCGUCCUUGACAUGGACCCCCGGUGCUUUGUGAUACACUUUCAACGAGUCGAGUUGUUUGGGAAUGCAGCUCAAAAUGGGUGGUGAAUUCCAUCUAAAGCUAAAUAUUGGCGAGAGACCGAUAGCGAACAAGUACCGUGAGGGAAAGAUGAAAAGCACUUUGGAAAGAGAGUUAAACAGUACGUGAAAUUGUUGAAAGGGAAACGAUUGAAGUCAGUCAUGCUCUUUGGAUUCAGCCGUUCUGCGGUGUAUUUCCAUUGAGUGGGGUCAACAUCAGUUUUGACCGCUGGAUAAAGGCACUAGGAAGGUAGCACUCUCGGGUGAACUUAUAGCCUAGCGUCAUAUACAGUGGUUGGGACUGAGGAACGCAGCAUGCCUUUAUGGCCGGGAUUCGUCCACGUACAUGCUUAGGAUGUUGACAUAAUGKCUUUAAACGACCCGUCUUGAAACG
rnacentral:rRNA from 1 species